AUUGAACGCUGGCGGCAGGCCUAACACAUGCAAGUCGAACGAGUGGCGGACGGGUGAGCAAUGUCUGGGAAACUGCCUGAUGGAGGGGGAUAACUACUGGAAACGGUAGCUAAUACCGCAUACCAUCGGAUGUGCCCAGAUGGGAUUAGCUAGUAGGUGGGGUAACGGCUCACCUAGGCGACGAUCCCUAGCUGGUCUGAGAGGCUGACCAGCCACACUGGAACUGAGACACGGUCCAGACUCCUACGGGAGGCAGCAGUGGGGAAUAUUGCACAAUGGGCGCAAGCCUGACGCAGCCAUGCCGCGUGUAUGAAGAAGGUCUUCGGGUUGUAAAGUACUUUCGGCGGGGAGGCGUUACCCGCAGAAGAAGCACCGGCUAACUCCGUGCCAGCAGCCGCGGUAAUAC
rnacentral:rRNA from 1 species